rnacentral:rRNA from 1 species
GUGGGGAAUAUUGGGCAAUGGGCGAAAGCCUGACCCAGCAACGCCGCGUGAAGGAAGAAGGUUUUCGGAUCGUAAACUUCUAUCCUUGGUGAAGAUAAUGACGGUAGCCAAGAAGGAAGCCCCGGCUAACUACGUGCCAGCAGCCGCGGUAAUACGUAGGGGGCAAGCGUUGUCCGGAAUGAUUGGGCGUAAAGGGCGCGUAGGCGGCCCGGUAAGUCUGAAGUGAAAGUCCUGCUUUUAAGGUGGGAAUUGCUUUGGAUACUGUCGGGCUUGAGUGCAGGAGAGGUAAGUGGAAUUCCCGGUGUAGCGGUGAAAUGCGGAGAGAUCGGGAGGAACACCAGUGGCGAAGGCGACUUACUGGACUGUAACUGACGCUGAGGCGCGAAAGUGUGGGGAGCAAACAGGAUUAGAAACCCGAGUAGUCC